AGAGUGGAGGGUGGCGCUUCGUACCGAUCUCUGGAAGGAGGACAUCGACGAAAUUUGACCCUUCCGGUGCGAGGAAAUCCUGACCACUAACCAGCGCCAAGCAGAACAACUAGAGCUGCGGAUGCCGUUAUUGGGAAACCAGCCCUCAGAGGAAUGUGUAAGCGAACUGGAGACGCUAGUUGAGACUGAGGUGUGGCUGGAUGAUUCCUAUCGGGCCCUGCGGUGGCAUGUUUACCACCUCUACCCAUGGCUGAUUGAGUACAAGUGUAUUGAGGGGGAAGACUACGACGGCCCUGGUUUGUUGUGGGAUACUAUUGAAACUAGUCUCUGGUUCAGAGACACCGACAUUGCUCGCUUUUGGUCCAUCCGAGCUGAGCGGGCAGACAACUGGGACCUUACAGAGAUCGAUGCCAUUCAGCCAGAUCUAUCUUUUCUUGCCAACCGAGAGUGGGAACUAGAACAGGAUUAUGUUUGCCUAUUCCAACGUAUAACGCCACCUGUCUUUGACAUGAUGGGGCUUAUUGACUGUAUACCACCGGAAGCAUUGAGUUUAGUUCCUCCUCCCCAGCAACCAAGCCUGUUAUCAGGAGACUUUGGUACUGUACCACAUAUGUCCCAACCAGCCCCAGAGAUGGAAG